rnacentral:lncRNA from 1 species
CUUGAACCUUCCCGCUGCUGUCACCCAGGCAGUAGCCUCUUUGGCGUCUGGUGGCUGGAGGCCUCCCGUGGUCUGGAGGGACCACUUAAGCCCACCUACUCCCGCCUCCACCUGCAGGGUCCUCCCCUCCCCCACCACUCACUGCCCCGCGCAGAGCGUAGAGAGCCACACUGCGCAUGCUCCUCAGGGGAGGGCUGCCUGCAGCGCGACGCGACGCGGGCGGGCGGGUGGUGGGGAUUCCAUUCAAGGGACACCUCGGUAGCAGCCACCUGGCCACGACAGCGUCCGCGUCCCAGACUCUGCCCGACUCCGGGCUCGUCCGAACUCGGGCAUAACCUAGAAAGCCAUCUUCGCAUUCCCAGAAUGACUUCCCCAGCUGAGGAAUUCGGCGUUCAGGGUUGCGGCUUUCUUCUGUGCUUUUAUGAGAGCCCCCGCUCAAGGCAUCUUCUACAAUUUGUUGAGUUGGAAGAGAAACAAGGCAAAUGGCAGGAAAAUCAAAUGAGAUCAUGACUUCACCAGAGCAAAACCGAGAUCCCUCGCCCCCAGUGAAAGCAAACAAAAGCUGGAAGAGAACGAGUUCGACCUGAUCUCCUCCGCCUUCUCCACCCCCAUCUCCAGGCCCAGACCCGGAGACGCCGGGGUUCAGAGGGGAGACUCAGAGUCCCAGAGCGCCCUCCACCCCGAGAAAGACCCAGAGCUGCCCUUGGGAUUCCAGGACAAGGAACCAGAGGAGUGUCCUCUAAGGAGGCUGCUGGGCGGGAUCACGAUAAGCGUCCAGGGACCGUGCCCUCCAGCUCCGCUGCUCCACCCAUGGCCAUCUGGGACUUGCUGGGACCAACAAAUUGAGGCAGACGUGGUGGCCCUCCAGCUUCGGAACCAUCGUUCACCCUGCAUCUGUCUUUGCUUUCACGUUCUUGGAAUCUCAAGACCUCAGAGGGUGAAGAGGGGGCCAGCCUCCUAGAAGAUGGACGGGAGCCAUGGCACCUGAGCCGGAGCCAGACUGCUGCUGGCCACGCGAGGGCAGCCAUCUGGACCCUCCAGCCCUCGUCGAGUGGUCAGGUGACCACGGUCACACGCAUGAGCCCAGGAGAGGCCAGCAGAACCACCCAGUGUGCCAGUAAGACACGACCAGCUGGCCCUUUCCUGGAGCCAUCAAGGCUUGGGUGGUUUGUUACACAGCAGCUAGAGCUCCAAUCAUUGUUAACACAGUGAAAGCGGAGGCUCGGCCUUGAAACCACAGCCGUAAAGAGGAUUCCAGCAUGACACAGGGAUGACAGCACUUUCUGGAGGCUUUGCCCGAACACCCCUACUGCGUCCUUAGCACAUUCAUUAGGAUUCCGGGAGCCCAACCCUGCUUUGGCUUUUCGCUUGCACGUUAAAUAUUUGACCACCAUUUCCCACCUGAAAGAAAGAGCUACCUUUAGCACUGGGGACACAGAUACAUUUGGCACAAUAAUGUCUUCUAAGAACUCUCAGGACAACAAAGGAGGUAGACAAGAACCUUAUUGUAUUCGCUCAGCAAAUAUCUGUGUCCCAGGCACUAUGCAGAGGGCUGGGAAUACAAUGAUAGGAAAGCCACAAAUCCAGACUCACAGGAUCGGAGCCUGGCCCUGAAGGGGACGCUGCUGAAAAGAAAAUGCAUUAACGGAUAAUGGCAAACAGUGCUAAAUGCUGUGAAGCAGCAGCUCAGAUGGCUCUGGAAGAGAAUUAGUCUGGUGAGAGGAGGCCAGAAAGGUUUUACUGGAGGAAGAGCAUUUCGCACAAAGACUCGAAAGAGCAGAUGAAGUGCCUGGCCAAAGCGGAGGGGAAGAAGGUUCCAGGCCCGAGGGAAUAUGGCGGUGGCCCUCACCAGGAGCAGUUAGGUUAACCUAGAACCCAACUCUAUUGUACCUUUAGACACAGAGUGGCUUUUGCCUGGUUUUACCAUACAUUGAAUUUUCCUGGAAUGCAAGGACCAUGCCAGUUGAGAGAAGGCUGAGGUGGAUUUGCUUGGGGAUUCACACUGGUCACCCUCCUGGAGGGAGAGCACUGGCAGCAACUCCACUCCACGUGCUGGCGGCACAUGAGCGGUCAACACCCCACACCUAGACCUGCCCGCACGUGGAGCGGUCCCUCUCACCUGUUUCUUCCUGUUCUGCUCAAGCACCUGCCUCCUUCAUUGGGACUUGCAGCAUUAUAAUAUAUAUGGUUUUAUUAUACAUUCCACUUAUUCUUCCUUAUUUGAGAGUUUCAGAAUGACAUGUGUAUGUUUUCAAUCCAAUGAGUAGGUAGGUUAUAUUAUUUAUGAGGUUCAUUUUGGGGUAGACAAAGCAGCCCUGGAUCUGAUGAGGUUAAAACCACAGGUUAAGACCUGCCUUUCGCUGUGGGACAGGGAGUUGGGCUGGUGUAAGAACUACCAGGAGGAAGGGGGUUGGAGCCCAGAGACCUGGGAGCAGGGUGGGACCAGAUGAGGCUGGCAGAGGACUGGGGACAUCACAACCCUCGACUCUGCCGGAGGGGAUGCGAAAAGGUACCAUCUGGUGGUACCUCCGAGGUGCAACAUGGAACAUCACCCGAAACAGCCAGUCCGUUCCUAGGCAUAGACCCAAGAGAAGUGGAAACAUGUCCUGAACACAGAUGUUCACAGCAGCACUAUUCGUAUGAGCCCAAAAGAAGAAACAACUAAAAUGCCCAUCAACUAGUGAAUGCAUGAACCAAAGAGUAGGUUCUUCAUAUAAUGGAAUAUUAUUCAGCCACAGAAAGGAAUGAACUACUGAUACAUACUGUGAUAUGGACGAACCGUGAAAACGCUCUGCUGAGUGAAAGAAGCCAGACGCAAAAGGCCACAGAGUAUGCAGUUCAGUUUACAUGAAAUGUCCAGAAGAGGCAAAUCCACAGAAGCAGAAAGAAGAUUUGGGGUUGCCAGAGGCUGGGGCUGAGGAGGUGAUGGAAAGUGACUGACAGCGGGUCUGGAGUUUCCUUGGCGGGCGAUGGAAAUAUUUUGGACUUAAAGAGUGGUGAGAAUGGUGCGACUUUGUUAAUAUUGUAAGUAAAACAACAUCAACAGUGAUAAAGA